rnacentral:rRNA from 1 species
GUUUCCUACGGGGGGCAGCAGUGGGGAAUAUUGCACAAUGGGGGAGACCCUGAUGCAGCGACGCCGCGUGAGUGAAGAAGUAUUUCGGUAUGUAAAUCUCUAUCAGUAGGGAAGAAAAUGACGGUACCUGACUAAGAAGCCCCGGCUAACUACGUGCCAGCAGCCGCGGUAAUACGUAGGGGGCAAGCGUUAUCCGGAUUUACUGGGUGUAAAGGGAGCGUAGGUGGCAUGGUAAGCCAGAAGUGAAAACCCGGGGCUCAACCCCGCGGAUUGCUUUUG